UACGUAGGGUCCGAGCGUUGUCCGGAAUUACUGGGCGUAAAGAGCUCGUAGGUGGUUUGUCGCGUUGUCCGUGAAAACUCACAGCUCAACUGUGGGCGUGCGGGCGAUACGGGCAGACUGGAGUACUGCAGGGGAGACUGGAAUUCCUGGUGUAGCGGUGGAAUGCGCAGAUAUCAGGAGGAACACCGGUGGCGAAGGCGGGUCUCUGGGCAGUAACUGACGCUGAGGAGCGAAAGCCAGGGGAGCAAACGGG
rnacentral:rRNA from 1 species